GGUGGGUUGGCUCAGUGGUUAGAGCGUAGGUCACGUAACCGAAAGGUUGCGGGAUCGAAUCCCGCUAGAGGCUG
rnacentral:tRNA from 1 species